AGUGAACGCUGGCGGCAUGCCUAACACAUGCAAGUCGAACGGCAGCACAGUAAGAGCUUGCUCUUACGGUUGGCGAGUGGCGGACGGGUGAGGAAUACAUCGGAAUCUACUUUUUCGUGGGUGAUAACGUAGGGAAACUUACGCUAAUACCUCAUACGACCUACGGGUGAAAGCAGUGGAUCUUCGGACCUUGCCCGAUUGAAUGAGACGAUGUCGGAUUAGCUAGUUGGCGGGGUAAAGGCCCACCAAGGCGACGAUCCGUAGCUGGUCUGAGAGGAUGAUCAGCCACACUGGAACUGAGACACGGUCCAGACUCCUACGGGAGGCAGCAGUGGGGAAUAUUGGACAAUGGGCGCAAGCCUGAUCCAGCCAUACCGCGUGGGUGAAGAAGGCCUUCGGGUUGUAAAGCCCUUUUGUUGGGAAAGAAAAGCAGCAGGUUAAUACCCCGCUGUUCUGACGGUACCCAAAGAAUAAGCACCGGCUAACUUCGUG
rnacentral:rRNA from 1 species